rnacentral:rRNA from 1 species
AGAGUUUGAUCAUGGCUCAGAAUCAACGCUGGCGGCGUGCCUAACACAUGCAAGUCGAACGCGAAAGUCCCGCAAGGGAUCAGUAGAGUGGCAAACGGGUGAGUAACACGUGGGUGACCUGCCUUCGAGCGGGGGAUAACGUCCCGAAAGGGACGCUAAUACCGCAUGACAUCCUGCCUUUUAAGAGGCGGCGAUCAAAGCUGGGGAUCGCAAGACCUAGCACUCGAAGAGGGGCCCGCGUCUGAUUAGCUAGUUGGUGGGGUAACGGCUCACCAAGGCAACGAUCAGUAUCCGGCCUGAGAGGGCGGACGGACACACUGGGACUGAGACACGGCCCAGACUCCUACGGGAGGCAGCAGUGGGGAAUUGUUCGCAAUGGGCGCAAGCCUGACGACGCAACGCCGCGUGGAGGAUGAAGACCUUCGGGUCGUAAACUCCUUUCGAUCGAGACGAACGGCCUCCGGGUGAACAAUCCGGAGGAGUGACGGUACCGAGAGAAGAAGCCCCGGCUAACUCCGUGCCAGCAGCCGCGGUAAUACGGGGGGGGCAAGCGUUGUUCGGAAUUACUGGGCGUAAAGGGCUCGUAGGUGGCCAACUAAGUCAGACGUGAAAUCCCUCGGCUUAACCGGGGAACUGCGUCUGAUACUGGAUGGCUUGAGUGUGGGAGAGGGAUGCGGAAUUCCAGGUGUAGCGGUGAAAUGCGUAGAUAUCUGGAGGAACACCGGUGGCGAAGGCGGCAUCCUGGACCAUAACUGACACUGAGGAGCGAAAGCCAGGGGAGCAAACGGGAUUAGAUACCCCAGUAGUCC